rnacentral:rRNA from 1 species
GGAACCGCGUGGGGGGAGGAAAGCCUUUGGGUUGUAAACCCCUUUUCUCAGGGAAGAAGAAAGUGACGGUACCUGAGGAAUCAGCCUCGGCUAACUCCGUGCCAGCAGCCGCGGUAAUACGGAGGAGGCAAGCGUUAUCCGGAAUGAUUGGGCGUAAAGCGUUCGUAGGUGGCAAUUCAAGUCUGCUGUCAAAGACAGUAGCUCAACUACUGCAAGGCAGUGGAAACUGAAUAGCUAGAGUGCGGUAGGGGCAGAGGGAAUUCCCGGUGUAGCGGUGAAAUGCGUAGAGAUCGGGAAGAACACCGGUGGCGAAAGCGCUCUGCUGGGCCGCAACUGACACUGAGGGACGAAAGCUAGGGGAGCGAAUGGGAUUAGAUACCCCAGUAGUC